rnacentral:rRNA from 1 species
AACGCGAAGAACCUUACCUGGGUUUGACAUACACCGGAAAACCGUAGAGAUACGGUCCCCCUUGUGGUCGGUGUACAGGUGGUGCAUGGCUGUCGUCAGCUCGUGUCGUGAGAUGUUGGGUUAAGUCCCGCAACGAGCGCAACCCUUGUCUUAUGUUGCCAGCACGUAAUGGUGGGGACUCGUAAGAGACUGCCGGGGUCAACUCGGAGGAAGGUGGGGACGACGUCAAGUCAUCAUGCCCCUUAUGUCCAGGGCUUCACACAUGCUACAAUGGCCAGUACAGAGGGCUGCGAGACCGUGAGGUGGAGCGAAUCCCUUAAAGCUGGUACUCAGUUCGGAUACGGGGUCUGCAACUCGAGCCCCGUGAAGUUCGGAGUCGCUAGUAAUCGCAGAUCAGCAACGCUGCGG